CUCCUCUUCCUCGGGGGGGGGCGGAUCCUGCGCGGCGGCCACUUCGCCCUCAGCCUUCGCAGCGCUGUUGGUGUCCUCCUCCUCUUCCUCCUCCUCUUCUUCCUCCUCUUCCUCCUCCUCCUCCUCUUCUUCCUCCUCUUUUCCCGCUGCAGCAUCAGAGUCGUCCUCUUCCUCCUCUUCCUCCUCCUCUUCUUCCUCCUCUUCUUCCUCCUCCGACUCCUCCUUGUUGGAUUCCUCCUCCUCCUCUUCCUCCUCCUCCUCCUCCUCUUCCUCGCGGCUCUCCUUGGCGGUGCUCC
rnacentral:lncRNA from 1 species